GUGUCAGCCGCCGCGGUAAUACGGAGGAUCCGAGCGUUAUCCGGAUUUAUUGGGUUUAAAGGGUGCGUAGGCGGGGCAUCAAGUCAGUGGUGAAAUGGUGUGGCUCAACCAUAGCAUUGCCGUUGAAACUGAUACCCUUGAGUGCAGUAGAGGUAUGCGGAAUGUGUUGUGUAGCGGUGAAAUGCAUAGAUAUGACACAGAACACCGAUUGCGAAGGCAGCAUACUGGACUGUAACUGACGCUGAAGCACGAAAGCGUGGGGAUCGAACAGGAUUAGAUACCCUGGUAGUCCACGCAGUAAACGAUGAUUACUAGCUGUUAGCGAUAUAGUGUUAGUGGCUAAGGGAAACCGAUAAGUAAUCCACCUGGGGAGUACGUUCGCAAGAAUGAA
rnacentral:rRNA from 1 species